UCUGACCUCAUUAUUUACUGAUCGUGUUACGGUACAUGUUAUAAGCUGAUGGAUAUCAUACAAUUGGUAGGUGCAGUAAUAGAUAAAUACAAUAGUGUCUAUUGGUUUGUAGUUUAUGUGCUCCCUUUACUUUUUUUUCUCUUGAGUUGUUAUAUGCAAAGUGACAAGUUUAGCGCACAUAACACGUGCUAAAAGGAAUUGUAAGUAAACCCGUAAAAAUGUCGAUUAUCAAAUAUGUGAUGUCAAUGAGAACUCAAAUUAUCUAGUUAAUACCAAAAUGUCGAAUACGAAAACGAUACUCGUUUAUUGGUUUCAUUCUUUAUGAAAUUAAUGUUCUUCUACAAAAGUCUUUCAUCAUAGGUUUCCUGCGAUUGGGCUAAAUUGUUAUUUCAAUGCCUCAGAAAUAUUAUGUUUAAACGAAGUACCGAUAUGUAAGUUCUGAGAACAUAGUUAUUGUCUCUAGAUAAAUGGUUCAUAAUGGGAACAGUAUAUAACUUGCAAUUUGUUUUACAUACACUUUCCAAAUUUAUUUCUUUAUAUCUAAUGCAAGAAAUAUAAAGUAAGAGAAUGAAAUUACAUGUCAAAAACAUUGUGUGCCGAACCUUUAUGUUAAGUAGGGAUUUGAUCCAGUUAAAAAAGGUUAACAACCAAUGUGUCAGAAGCUGUCCUACUGAAUUUUAGACCCCCGUAACAUAAAGGUGUCCAUAUUUUAAGUUAAAACUGGUAGUCUUUUCUAUAAUUUUGAUAUUAUUUGUCCCUAUAGUAGUACACUACACUUUAAAAAAAAAUUAAUAUAGAGGAGUUGCUUAUUCUUUUAAUUUGAGUUUAAUGUCUUAAAGAAAUGCUUUAUGAAAGAACUGUGUUCUCGGGCCAUAUGAACGAUUAAGCGUUCCAAUUUUUGCAAUAUAUAUCCUAUAUAAUUACCAAAUGUAACUUACUGUGGAUUCACUUAUGUCCAUGAAUUGCUGAAAACUUGCAUUUUCGUAGAUAUUUGAAUUCGUGAUUUUGCCCAUCUCUGCAUUUAAAGUAGUGGGGGAUAUUAUGGACAUAAUUGUGCAAAUCGUGAUACAAGCAUGAAAUUUGGUAUAAAGGUUAACUAAAUGAUACUUAUAAAAAAUCCGCUGCUGGCCAGAAAAAAAAUCAAUUUUUCAAAAUGGCCACCACACAUUUUGGAAAUGGCUCAUUACAAAUUGGCAAUACUUCGUUAAUCCUUUGAAAGGUGUGUUAUAUGUAAAAUUCAAUGUUAGAUUUGAUAAAAAGUAAAUGACAGUUCCUUAAUUACGACUAGACAAUACAUUACUGAAACUAAAGGUGACUUCCGGUUUCAAAAUGCCGGCAAAAAAGUCAAAAAUUUUUAUACUUUCAAGCAUCUUCACAUGGGAUAUAAAUCCUUGAAAAAUGUGUUAGAGGUAUAAUCCAA
rnacentral:lncRNA from 1 species